GCUUCAUACUACAGUUGCUGGCCGCUAGGAGAGACGCACUGUCGUCCGGUACGCACGCGCUGAAAUAUUUCCGACUAACCAUAGUGCACGAUUUCAGUCGCAGUGAACUAAAAAAAAACUUUGAUUAGUGUUUGACGUUUUGUUGUAUUCUUGUGUAUAUAAAAUCACAAUGACGUCGCCGGCCAUCACGAAGUCGCCUGACAACCAGAAGGGAACCAAAUCCCCGACAAACUCCGCGGGCGCCGCCGCCGCCGAGCGGCCGGCCUCGCGCGCCGAGUCGGCUUCCACCUCCGCCGCGCCACCACAGUCCGAGCCCUUCAGCUGGCUGCGAAUCUUCAAACUGGCAGACCUUAUGAUGAAACAGGGCUGCUAGACAAUACUACUGUAGUUUUUUUUUCCUUUCUAACGGGUUUACCGGGUGUAACUUAUCAUCGGGGAGAAUAAUUCAAUUGAUGCAUCAAUUCAUUCCAGUGUAUCAAAAUAGUACCUACGGAUUGGGUAACUGAAGUCAGGAUAUUAAUAACUGUUCAUCAAUUAAAUAGCAAUAAAUGUAGGAAGUAGGUAUAUCAUUAGCACGAAGAGGUUCUCAGCUUCCAUAAAUAUUAGAGCUUCUUUGUUAAUGAAUAAUUAAAUAUCGUUACUUCCUUGGCUACGCAGACCGCACGCAAUGAUAGGUAUAGGUACGAUAUACCUGCAAUUAAUGGAUGUGUUUUAAGUACAAGGACUUUUUUGAUUCAUAUGAUGUGGCUAGUCCUUUUAGAUGUAGGUUCAUCGCGCAAUUAUGUAGCGUAGGCGGAAAAUUAGUGUUUAAUUAUGUUAAACUUUAUUGUCUUUCAAUAUUCUCGAUAUACCUAUUAAUGUUAGCUACUAAGUUAGCAUUUAUUUUUACCGCUAAUUUUAACCUCGGGGGUAUACUUGUAGCACAUCAGAAUUAAUAAUAUAGAGUUGGUCUACUCAUAUCAAAAUUAUCUUAAACGGUUCACUACGUAUUAUUAAGUCGAAUAGCUCGACAUGUUUCCAUCCAUGUACGUGUACCACGCCGCGCCCUCGACCAGUGAAGGAGUCGUUGCUCCGUGAAGAGGAUCCUCGCAAAUUGGAUCGAAACAUGUCGAGAUAUUCGACUUAAUAAUACGUGAGUGACCCGUUUAAAAUAAUUUUAAUAUAUUUGAGUCUCACGUCACGGGAGGGUUAUAGUUAAAGUUGGUCUACUCUUUGGAUUUAACUUUUGAUUCUGCUCCUGUUAUUAAAAAUUGCUAUUCAUUUAAUAUGUAUUAUAGGAUUUAUACUUUAUAGUGUAAUAGAAAGAAAGGAUUAGAGUCUGUGUACCUAAGCUUUCUUUGCACAGACUUAAGUGACGAGUGCGGAAGUGCCACUAUGAACGUCAUAUUUGAUGUUUAUUGUGGCGUUUCCACACUCUGUCGCUGCCAUAUCAGUACAGAGUUAGCUUGGACUGACUGGAAGUUCUUUAUUGACUAUUGUGCUAAGUAAUAUUUAUAAAUUUAUUUAUAUCAUGUCAAUAAAUUAUACCUACCACUGAAAAAUGUUACGAAAUCAAUUGUUUACAUUAGAAUCGUAUAAGGUCGUUCUAAAUAAAUUACUCGAAGUUG